rnacentral:rRNA from 1 species
AUUGAACGCUGGCGGCAGGCCUAACACAUGCAAGUCGACCGAGUGGCGGACGGGUGAGUAAGGUCUGGGCAACUGCCUGAUGGAGGGGGAUAACUACUGGAAACGGUCGCUAAUACCGCAUACCAUCAGAUGUGCCCAGAUGGGCUCAGCUAGUUGGUGGGGUAACGGCUCACCAAGGCGACGAUCCCUAGCUGGUCUGAGAGGAUGACCAGCCACGCUGGAACUGGGAAACGGUCCAGACUCCUACGGGAGGCAGCAGUGGGGAAUAUUGCACAAUGGGCGCAAGCCUGAUGCAGUCAUGCCGCGGGUAUGAAGAAGGCCUUCGGGUUGUAAAGUACUUUCAGCGGUGAGGCGUUACCCGCAGAAGAAGCACCGGCUAACGCCGUGCCAGCAGCCGCGGUAAUUC